AUAUUAACCAAGGAAGGCUUUUUCUUCUUACACUAAUAUCCAUAAAUAUAAGUAUAGGUCUCUGACAACAAAUUAUAAAAAAUAAAAAUAAUUUAUACGGUGCAUAUAAAAAAUACUCUAUAUCCAGAUUCUCCGGCCAUGUCUGUGGCUCUUACGACUCCUUCAAUAAGUACAGAGGCUCACGAGCACUUGCUGGUGGUGGAUGUGGAGGAUCCAAGCCCAGAUCAAGAAGAAACACAGCGGCCAUUAACGAAGUUUGGGAUACGUGAUCUGAGGAAGGAAUCUGAUGGGGGUGAUCCUAUAUUGAACGGGAUAAGCGUGGAGAUACCGAAGGGUGUGAUUGUUGGGAUCAUAGGGCCGAGUGGGAGUGGGAAAUCGACGAUGUUGAGAGCUCUGAAUAGGCUGUGGGAGCCACCUUUGGGGACUGUGUUUUUGGACGGUCGGGAUAUCUGUGAUCUUGAUGUGCUCACUCUGAGGAGGAAGGUUGGGAUGCUUUUUCAGCUUCCUGCUCUGUUUGAAGGCACAGUAGCAGACAACAUACGAUAUGGACCGCAAUUGAGAGGGCAGAAGCUAAGUGAUGAGGAGGUUUACAGCUUGCUCAAACUUGCAGACCUUGAUUCCUCUUUUUACAGUAAGACUGGUGGUGAACUAUCUGUUGGUCAAGCUCAAAGGGUUGCUCUUGCUAGGACCUUAGCUAAUGAACCAGAGGUUCUGCUGCUUGAUGAGCCUACAAGUGCCUUGGAUCCAAUAUCAACGGAAAACAUAGAGGAUGUCCUAGUGAACCUAAAGAAGAAACAGGGAAUGACUAUUAUAAUGGUCUCUCACAGCAUCAAACAAAUCCAGAGGAUUGCUGAUAUUGUGUGUCUCCUUGUGAAAGGUGAAAUUGUUGAAGUGUUAAGACCUGAUAAACUCUCAGAAGCCAAGCAUCCUAUGGCACUAAGGUUUCUUCAACUCAGCUCAUAAAUGCUUUUUUAUUGUGUGUUUGAGUGUGGGGUGCUCUUCAGUGAUAACCAGAGGAAAUGCCAUCUAUACAAAAAAUCAAUUAAUGUCUUGGCUUAGUGAUAAAAGGCAAUCAUCAUUAUGGAGUUGAUAUCAUAAGUUGAAAUUUUAUGAAGUGGAUGUCAUAGCUUAAUGAUAAAAAUUGUUGUUGUAUAUUUUUCUUUCUCCAUGUUGGUGUACACUGUAUUCCAAUGAAGUCUGGACCAUUAUCAAGAUAAUAUUUUGGGUGCUUA